AUCGAACGCUGGCGGCAGGCCUAACACAUGCAAGUCGGGCGAGCGGCGGACGGGCGAGUAAUGUAUGGGGACCUGCCUGAUGGAGGGGGAUAACUACUGGAAACGGUAGCUAAUACUGCAUACCAUCCUAUGAACCCUUAUGGGAUUAUCUUGUGGGUGAGGUAACGCCGAACCUAGGCGACGAUCCAUAGCUGGUCGGAGAGGGUGAUCGGCCACACGGGGACUGAGACACGGCCCAGACUCCUACGGGAGGCAGCAUUGGGGAAUAUUGCACAAUGGACGAAAGCCUGAUGCAGCAACGCCGCGUGUAUGAAGAAGGCCUUCGGAUUGUAAAAUUCUUUCGGUCGGGAGGCGUUACCGAAAGAGAAAGCAACGGCUAACUCCGUGCCAGCAGCCGCGGUAAUUC
rnacentral:rRNA from 1 species